GGUCUUGUGGCAUAGUGGUAAGGCACAGGGCUCAUAACCAAAAGGUUGCUGGUUCAAUUCCCCACUAAGGCUC